rnacentral:rRNA from 1 species
UACGUAGGGUGCAAGCGUUGUUCGGAAUUACUGGGCGUAAAGGGCUCGUAGGCGGUUUGGCGAGUCAGUAGUGAAAGGCCUGGGCUCAACCGAGGAACUGCUUUUGAUACUGCCAAGCUAGAGUGCGGAAGGGGCAACUGGAAUUCCCAGUGUAGCGGUGAAAUGCGUAGAUAUUGGGAAGAACACCUGAGGCGAAGGCGGGUUGCUGGGCCGACACUGACGCUCAUGCACGAAAGCGUGGGGAGCAAACAGG